GUCUCAGUUCGGACUGUAGUCUGCAACCCGACUACACGAAGCUGGAAUCGCUAGUAAUCGCGAAUCAGAAUGUCGCGGUGAAUACGUUCCCGGGUCUUGUACACACCGCCCGUCACACCAUGGGAGUCGGGAAUGCCCGAAGCCGGUGACCUAACCGAAAGGAAGGAGCCGUCGAAGGCAGGUCUGAUAACUGGGGUGAAGUCGUAACAAGGUACC
rnacentral:rRNA from 1 species